rnacentral:lncRNA from 1 species
GUGUUCGUCUUAUGAAACACCCGAAAGUACGAGCGCGUGGGAAACACGGGUGCUUGUCUGGCAGCGGGAGACGUACUCUGCUUUUGCCUCUCUGUGAGCGCAAGGCUGGAGGGAAGAGGACACAUCCAAGACGGGACGCCAGUCCAUCGCAGGGCACCCCAAGCAGGGCUCGAACCCCAGACCCACCAGAGAGCAGGCACAGGGCAAACCCACCGCACCCCCCUCGCAUUAUUCAUGUUAGAAUAAUGUAGAAUAAUAAUAUAAAUACAGUACAGUAUCACGUUCUCGUGCCACGCUUUCAUUUCUGAAUUUGUUGUGAACAUGACUAGAAAGAACACUCACCGUUUCCCUACCCAGCUAGUUUUAAAUGAAAAGCCAUUUGUAGGGAAUCGCAAAGGAAGAGCUUCAUAAAACACAAUGCAGUCGCCACUACGCAGCAGAGAUGUUACCGUGCAGAAUACGGAACACUUGUCCUUAGACGUUGCGGCCAAACGUCGGAAGUCUAAAGUAACGAGGUUAACGGGACGCCGUCAUCAGUACAGCUGGUCAUAAGGACUGUUCGUUGUAUACAUGUCGUAAGUCGAGGACUACCUGUAUUGAAAAAAUAAUUUUGUCUACAUGUUAAAACAGAAAAGAUGUAAACUAGCAGCUUCAAGAAGCUGCUAAAAGCUUUUUUUUUUUUUUUUUUUAUUUUUUUUAUUUAAUACGUACCUUUGAAAUGCUUUCUGUCACUGAAAUAUCAUAUCAUCCCAAAGGUGUUCUAUUGUCUGUUAUAUUUCUCUUCAUCUGACGGGCCCAGGAUACCUUACUCUGGAAGUGAAGUAACAGUCCUCUUCCUUAACUCCUUUGUAGUUGGAGGGUUGUUGCCUCAGCUCUGUAUUUGAUAUGAAGGACGUGGGUCUCUCAUGAUGUGCAUCUCUAGACAUGUUCCGCAAAGCCCACCGUUCCAAGGUUUAGCUGAUGUCUGGCAGUCAUCUGUGCCGACAGCUCACGCCUUUGCUCCUGGCUUCCGGAUGUUGCCGUGGCGCCGAACCCGAUGUUGUUCCGCUGCAGUCCGGUAGCAGGGUGUCCCGUCCUCGGGAUUAACAGCGAUGGCUUUAUAAUGAGGGGAACCUCUCCAGUCGCCGAGGGGUGCUGGUAUUGGGCACCAAAUUUCACUACAAAAAAAAAAAAAAAAAAAAAUUCCAACCUUGGAAAAAAUAAGAAAAAACCCUACUUAAUAACAAACAUUUUUGUGUAAAAAUUUAACAA